rnacentral:lncRNA from 1 species
GUUGUAGAAGUGAGAGAGAUGUAGAUCCAACCAAAUGAAGCGUCUCAGAAGAAUAGUCGUCUGCAAAAAGAAAUUUGGAUUGAAUCGAAAAGACAAGAAUAACUCAAUAACUUAAGAGAUUACUUAUAUGAAUGAUCAAAUCUAUGUUUGAAUUUGGGAUUUAGAGCUCUUGGAAUUUAGAUCUCUUUGUGAUUUAGUGUGAUUUUUUC